rnacentral:lncRNA from 1 species
CUCCCCUUGCAGCAACUUCUUCCAACAGCCUCUUCCAACGGACCCCCUGACACUCCUCCCUAAUGCCUCGCCCAUCUCGCAGGGCACAAAGAAAUCUCAGUCUCCUUCCAUAAACUUUGUGCCUACCGCUCCCCUCCUGGAGCCCCGGCCCUCCGCCCUUCCAGUUUCUUGGCAGGAAGGUUUAGGCCACUGGCAAAGUCCCCGGCGAAAGCCAGCUGAUCACAAAUGCCAACUGUGUGUCUUGGGGCCCGUUAAGUCCUCUCGUCUGCCCAGGCUCUCAGGAGACCAUUUCAUUGCUGUCAGAGUUCCCGGGAGACUGCUGCGGGCGAGGACCAUCACCCCCCCCCCCCCCCCCACUAGGCCCAAAAGGAUGGGGUGCUGAGCUGUGUCACAGCGCUUUUCUGGGGCAUCUUGCUUCAGAGUUUUCCAUUUGAAAUAGUAAAAUUCCGGAAUCGGGAGUCAGGCAGAUUUUUUUUUUUUUCUCUUUCUCACAUCCAAAAGGACGAUGGUUAGCUGGAUGAUUCGCUCUUAGAUAGGAAGGGAUCUAUCGUCUCUCAUUGGACAUACUAACUUUGCAUGAAGUCUGUGGAAGUUCUGCAGUUUCACCCUGCCCCCCGUGACCUUCCGAAACUGCCCCCGUGACCUUCCAGUUUCUUAGUACUGCCACAGGGAAGCACCGUGGAGCUAAUAAAAGAUUUGAUAUUGUCAUAAUUUUUCAAUCAGGGGAUCAACAAAUUGAUCAAGAAACUGCCCAGGCCAAUCUCACAAGACAGCAGGCUGCCUUCUUUAUUAUGGAACUACAGACCACAAAUCUUACUAAAGGCGUGACUCAAUUCAACAGUGCUGGUUUGUUCGGAUCCGCCAUCUUGGUUUGGCCAUGUGGUGUAGUCCAGAGCAAAGCAAUGAGAACAGAAGUUAUUUGACAAUGAUUCAUGGAAACCGAAAAUGCCCUUGGUCUGAAGCCAGGAAGCAUCUCCCUUUUUGUCCCUGUCCCCAGGGUUUAUACCUGGAAUGGGACAGGGUGCUUGGAACAUUUUUAGUCUUUGAAUAAUUUAAUAAUUAUACUUUAGUGAGUCUUACCUCUUCAUCAUUUCUUAGAACAAUAUACAGACUGUUAAACCAACUUAGUAUUAUAUCAUCAUUUUAAUAAGUUUCUUUUUUAAGAUUGUAAUUAUGUCAUUUCCCCCUUGCCUUUUCUCCCUCCAACUCCUCCCACAUACUCCUCCUUAACUCCUUAAAUCAUGGCUUUUGUCAUUAAUUGUUGCAUAUGCAUAACAUAUAUAAUAUUUACCAUAUAUGUACACUAAGCACACAUAUACUAUGUUAAUGCAUAAUAUAUUAUAUAAG